UUUUCUAUAUAUUGUUGCAAAUAAGCAAUGAGAGAGACUGAUCUGUCAUUAUCACUGUCAUAAUACAGGCCGGACUCCAGACCUGACAGAUGAAAUAAAGAAUUUAUUUGUGGAAAUAUGUAAAGAACAUGGAAUUAGUAAGGAUCAAAUUGUGGACCUGAGCAAGGAGGAUCGAUGCUAGACGCUUAGAUAAAGAUCAUCUUGGCAUGCAGCUUCUACUUCCUACA
rnacentral:lncRNA from 1 species